UACGUAGGGGUCGAGCGUUGUCCGGAGUUACUGGGCGUAAAGCGCGCGCAGGCGGCGCGAUAAGACCGGCGUGAAAGCCCCCGGCUCAACUGGGGAGGGUCACGCGAUACUGAUCGACUCGAAGGCAGGAGAGGGUAGUGGAAUUCCCGGUGUAGUGGUGAAAUGCGUAGAUAUCGGGAGGAACACCAGUGGCGAAGGCGACUACCUGGCCUGUUUCUUGACGCUGAGGCGCGAAAGCUAGGGGAGCAAACGGG
rnacentral:rRNA from 1 species